rnacentral:rRNA from 1 species
GACAAUGGGCGAAAGCCUGAUCCAGCAAUGCCGCGUGCAGGAUGAAGGCCUUCGGGUUGUAAACUGCUUUUGUACGGAACGAAAAGCUUCGGGUUAAUACCCUGGAGCCAUGACGGUACCGUAAGAAUAAGCACCGGCUAACUACGUGCCAGCAGCCGCGGUAAUACGUAGGGUGCAAGCGUUAAUCGGAAUUACUGGGCGUAAAGCGUGCGCAGGCGGUUUUGUAAGACAGAGGUGAAAUCCCCGGGCUCAACCUGGGAACUGCCUUUGUGACUGCAAGGCUAGAGUACGGCAGAGGGGGAUGGAAUUCCGCGUGUAGCAGUGAAAUGCGUAGAUAUGCGGAGGAACACCGAUGGCGAAGGCAAUCCCCUGGGCCUGUACUGACGCUCAUGCACGAAAGCGUGGGGAGCAAACAGGAUUAGAUACCCUGGUAGUCCACGCCCUAAACGAUGUCAACUGGUUGUUGGGUCUUAACUGACUCAGUAACGAAGCUAACGCGUGAAGUUGACCGCCUGGGGAG